UGCCUCUAUGAAACUCAGAGCAUUUCAGGCGCCAAUUCCAAAAACAAAAAAAUAAUAUUAAAGAAAUUAGCAAAGCACAUGGUCGGUCGUUAGCAGCUGGUGGGCACGAGAAUUACCCCAUCUACAUACUUGAAACCAUUUGGACGCAGAGCGAAGCAGGCGAAAGAUGUGCGCAGUGUGCAAAGCAUUUAAAUUUAAUAGCAGAAAGCAGUGGCGAAUUUCUUAACGAGGCCGAACAACCGAAAACACACUAUGCACUUGCUGUACGGCAUGCUGGAGAAGGAAACACUAUUAUAUAAUGGCACCCAAGCGCUUGGAAACCAACGGAAUAGUAACGUGUCAAGCCAUUUACGACAGCGAAAACUUGCCCGUUUGUACAUAUAUUUACCUCAACAUAAUUGUACAUCGCCAAGUCGCAAAUGGCAUGCGCAUCACGCCAACGCAACUCGGUAAAUUGCUGCAAUACUUCAGCGGUACUUAAACUUGUUUGAUUAAAUAGCGACAUUAGCUGCGUACAAUCUUCCAUGCCUGCAUUUAAGCCUUGCCCAUAGUAGGGUACCAUAGCGUGUGCAGCAUCACCUAGAACUAGCGCCUUCGAGCCGUAGUGGUAUGGAUAGCACUGGAAAUUAGGAAACAUUUUAUUAUAAACUGGAGUUUCGGUGAAAAUUUAUAUAAUAGAAUUACUUAUUUGAGUUAUAUUGAAAAUAGAAUAAAGUCUUUAGCUUAAAUAAAUUAUAGAAAAUAUAAUAGUCCA